rnacentral:rRNA from 1 species
UACGUAGGCAGCGAGCGUUGUUCGGAAUUACUGGGCGUAAAGAGUGUGUAGGCGGUGCUCCCAGUCUGUUGUGAAAUCUCCCGGCUUAACUGGGAGGGUGCAGCGGAAACUAGAGUGCUAGAGGGUGGGAGAGGUAAGCGGAAUUCCUGGUGUAGCGGUGAAAUGCGUAGAUAUCAGGAGGAACACCUGUGGUGUAGACAGCUUACUGGACCACUUCUGACGCUGAGACACGAAAGCUAGGGGAGCAAACAGG